AGGACGAACGCUGGCGGCGUGCUUAACACAUGCAAGUUGAACGGUAUGACAUGGAAGCUUGCUGAAGUGUCAUAUAGUAGCGGACGGGUGAGUAAUGCAUGAGAAGCUGCCAUUGGGAGGGGGACAACAGUUGGAAACGGCUGCUAAUACCCCGUAUGCCGGAGGGUGAAAGGGAGUAAUCCGCCCGAUGAGGUGCUCAUGUCCUAUCAGCUGGUUGGUGGGGUAACGGCCUACCAAGGCGACGACGGGUAGCCGGCCUGAGAGGGUGAACGGCCACACUGGAACUGAGAUACGGUCCAGACUCCUACGGGAGGCAGCAGUGGGGAAUAUUGGGCAAUGGACGAAAGUCUGACGGAGCAACGCCGCGUGAGUGAAGAAAAGGUUUUCGGAUCGUAAAACUCUGUUGUCAGAGAAGAACAAGUUGGAGAGUAACUGCUCCAGCCUUGACGGUAUCUGACCAGAAAGCCACGGCUAACUACGUGCCAGCCGCCGC
rnacentral:rRNA from 1 species